AACUCGAUGGUUGUCCCAAGUUUUCCUUUUAUGAAAUUUCAACUACCCAGCUUCAAGCGUGUCCUGAAACAACAUGUUCUCAAGUUGAAGAAAAAGCAGAGAAGAACCUUUCUUCUCAUCUCAAUAUUGAACAAUCUUUAAAUAUGGGAGAAACAGCACAACAAUCCCUCACGGAGAAGGUGCCAGCUCAUGCAAGUCCCAACCUCACUGUUCUUCCUAUAAGAGAUAACACUCACGCAAGUGCUAAAAUAUUUGAAGAGGAAGAGGAAG